rnacentral:rRNA from 1 species
UAACACAUGCAAGUCGAGGGGCAGCAUGGUCUUAGCUUGCUAAGGCCGAUGGCGACCGGCGCACGGGUGAGUAACACGUAUCCAACCUGCCGUCUACUCUUGGACAGCCUUCUGAAAGGAAGAUUAAUACAAGAUGGCAUCAUGAGUCCGCAUGUUCACAUGAUUAAAGGUAUUCCGGUAGACGAUGGGGAUGCGUUCCAUUAGAUAGUAGGCGGGGUAACGGCCCACCUAGUCUUCGAUGGAUAGGGGUUCUGAGAGGAAGGUCCCCCACAUUGGAACUGAGACACGGUCCAAACUCCUACGGGAGGCAGCAGUGAGGAAUAUUGGUCAAUGGGCGAGAGCCUGAACCAGCCAAGUAGCGUGAAGGAUGACUGCCCUAUGGGUUGUAAACUUCUUUUAUAAAGGAAUAAAGUCGGGUAUGGAUACCCGUUUGCAUGUACUUUAUGAAUAAGGAUCGGCUAACUCCGUGCCAGCAGCCGCGGUAAUACGGAGGAUCCGAGCGUUAUCCGGAUUUAUUGGGUUUAAAGGGAGCGUAGAUGGAUGUUUAAGUCAGUUGUGAAAGUUUGCGGCUCAACCGUAAAAUUGCAGUUGAUACUGGAUAUCUUGAGUGCAGUUGAGGCAGGCGGAAUUCGUGGUGUAGCGGUGAAAUGCUUAGAUAUCACGAAGACUCCGAUUGCGAAGGCAGCCUGCUAAGCU